AACGCACAUUGCGCCCAUUAGUAUUCUAGUGGGCAUGCCUGUUCGAGCGUCAUUUCAACCCUUAAGCCUAGCUUAGUAUUGGGAAUCGACUUUACUGUCGUUCCUCAAAUUCAACGGCGGAUUUAUAGCAAUCUCUGAACGUAGUAAUUUUUUUUCUCGUUUUUGAAAUACUAUAAACCUCAGCCGCUAAACCCCCAAUUUCUUAUGGUUGACCUCGGAUCAGGUAGGAAUACCCGCUGAACUUAA
rnacentral:misc_RNA from 1 species